rnacentral:lncRNA from 1 species
AGUGCUGCUGCCUGUUUUUGGACUCCUUUGGACGCCAGGGCUGUAAACUCAAGCGGGUUGUCGUUUCAAAUGAAAAGUUCUUGUGUAUCACACACUUGAUAACACUUCUGCCUAAGAAAUUAAACUCCCAGCUCUCUGUGGACAUCCCCAAUGGCUAAUCUUCAAUUGAACAUAUAAUACCUAAAAGAAGAAAUCAGUCAGCUUUCAAUAUCUCGGACUUUUUUGACAGAUCUCCAUAUUUCACUUCUGUAGCUCUGGCCCUACUUCUCUGCCAAUCAGCAGGAGCCUCUUCCACCAAGGAGAUCUGAAAACAAGAGGUUUUGGUUCUUAUUCAUGAUCAUGUUUGAAACCAGAUCCAGAUAUGAAUUCAACUGUCAAACACUCCAGACUUCUCCUUGACUCCACUCAGAGGACAGGUGGUGCACCUCACCUUUCAUGUGGUCAGAUGUCCUACGACAAAAUGUUCACCAUGGCAUGGCCAAUGGCUCCGAUGAAGCAGUAGAAGAGGUGGUUAGUGUUUUCAAAUGAUUGUGGAUACAAGAGAAAACUAAUUUGAAGGACACCUAAAGUCACAUGAAAUAUGCAAGUACUUUGUUUAGCAUGGAGGUUCUCUGGAAAAUUCACUAGCUUGAACUGUACAUAAGUACAUCUCAAAGUGUGUGUGUGCCUGUGUGUCCCUCCAAAAUAGUUUUGAUAUUGAGAAGUGUGCAUCCAUAUGAGGUUGCAAAGCAACAAGCAAACUCAACAAUAAUAGUUCCAGUGCUGGGGUGAGUUGUGAAGGUGUCUGAAUCUUGGUGGUUAGGAGCAAGCUGUCCAGCAAGUCAGGAUGGUUUUGAGAGCUGCACCAAAAGCAAUGGACUCACCUGUUCCUGUCCACUCUCUUCCCUUAUGAGCACAAGAUGGACACGCUCUUUGCUCUGUUUCUGACUCCAGCUGGUCAGCUGUCAUCAUCUUGGACACAAUCACAAGGAGUUCAGGAACUCUGGGGUCUUACUCUGCUUCAAGUAUCUACUGUCUCUUCUAAUGGCUCAUGGGUACAUUUGGAGACAGGCAGCUGGCCAUCUUACCAUGCCUGGAAGUUCCUCUAAGGCCCGUCUUCCUGAUGGUGACCUGCAUGCAGUGGUACCUUCAUUCCAGGAUUUCUGAGUUACAUGGAGCUCCUCACUUGGCUGGAACAUUUGUGACACUACCAGCCAUCAUGAAACAACCUAGAGCACAGAGAGGGGAGUCAUGAGAUCAGACCUGUCUCCUAGACUCCUUGCUGGGUCCUCAUGCCCCAGAGGACUUGAGAAGGCUAUUACACCCCAAUACACACACUGCUCCUGUGCAGAUAGGGGAAUAGUUUGCCUUUACUUACAACCUGUGAUGUAGAUAUGGCUUCCCACAGGGGCCAAGCCCUGUGAGAAUCCUACCUGAUUCUCGCCUGAGCCUGUCUUCAUCCUCAACAAGCUGCUAUCUACUCUCUGAUUCCAUCAUCCAGGAAGUACAGUGCCUCCAAGUACACUUAAAACAAAUACAAGAAAGGGGUUUUCAGUACAAACUUGCAGGACUUAUGGCUGGCUCUGCUGGCCCUGUGAUGGCUUGAGCUCUAAGGCUGAUUCCUCCUGAGUGCUCCACUGAUCCCUUCACCCACCCUCCCUCAGCAUCCUGGCACAGCCUCCAGACACAUUCCUCUUCUCUCUACACAUAGUUAACUAACUCAGGAAGGAUACUGUGGGAUUGGACUUCUGGUGAAAUAAUAUAUUAUCACCAUGCCCUAAAAUGUAUAUAUUCA